UCUACUCUAAGCGGGGACACCUCUAGGAAACGGGGAUUUAAAUACCGCAUAAUAUGCCGAGGUCGCAUGACUUUUGGUAUUAAAGCAGCAAUGCACUUAGAGAUGAGUGUGCGUCCCAUUAGGUAGUUGGUGAGGUAACGGCUCACCAAGCCUAUGAUGGGUAGCCGGUCUGAGAGGAUGGUCGGCCACACGGGCACUGAGACACGGGCCCGACUCCUACGGGAGGCAGCAGUAAGGAAUAUUGGUCAAUGGUGGAAACACUGAACCAGCCAUGCCGCGUGGAGGAAUAAGGUCCUACGGAUUGUAAACUCCUUUUGACGAGGAAGAAAGUGUUAGAUUUAUCUAAUUUUGACGGUACUCGUAGAAUAAGCACCGGCUAACUCCGUG
rnacentral:rRNA from 1 species